rnacentral:rRNA from 1 species
GUGAGGAAUAUUGCGCAAUGGAGGCAACUCUGACGCAGCCAUGCCGCGUGCAGGAAGAAGGCGCUACGCGUUGUAAACUGCUUUUAACCGGGAAGAAACCCCAGGACGUGUCCUGGGUUGACGGUACCGGAGGAAUAAGCACCGGCUAACUUCGUGCCAGCAGCCGCGGUAAUACGAAGGGUGCAAGCGUUAUCCGGAAUCAUUGGGUUUAAAGGGUGCGUAGGCGGAGCGUUAAGUCAGUGGUGAAAUCCUGCAGCUUAACUGUAGACUUGCCAUUGAUACUGGCGCUCUUGAGUGAGCUUGAAGUUGGCGGAAUGUGACGUGUAGCGGUGAAAUGCUUAGAUAUGGCACAGAACACCAAUUGCGAAGGCAGCUCACUAAGGCGAUACUGACGCUGAGGCACGAAAGCGUGGGGAUCGAACAGGAUUAGAUACCCCGGUAGUCC